rnacentral:rRNA from 1 species
AGUGAACGCUGGCGGUAGGCCUAACACAUGCAAGUCGAACGGCAGCACAGUAAGAGCUUGCUCUUACGGGUGGCGAGUGGCGGACGGGGGAGGAAUACAUCGGAAUCUACUUUUUCGUGGGGGAUAACGUAGGGAAACUUACGCUAAUACCGCAUACGACCUACGGGUGAAAGCAGGGGAUCUUCGGACCUUGCGCGAUUGAAUGAGCCGAUGUCGGAUUAGCUAGUUGGCGGGGUAAGGGCCCACCAAGGCGACGAUCCGUAGCUGGUCUGAGAGGAUGAUCAGCCACACUGGAACUGAGACACGGUCCAGACUCCUACGGGAGGCAGCAGUGGGGAAUAUUGGACAAUGGGCGCAAGCCUGAUCCAGCCAUACCGCGUGGGUGAAGAAGGCCUUCGGGUUGUAAAGCCCUUUUGUUGGGAAAGAAAAGCAGCAGGUUAAUACCCCGCUGUUCUGACGGUACCCAAAGAAUAAGCACCGGCUAACUUCGUG